UACGGAGGGAGCUAGCGUUGUUCGGAAUUACUGGGCGUAAAGCGUGCGCAGGCGGUUAUGCAAGACAGAUGUGAAAUCCCCGGGCUCAACCUGGGAACUGCAUUUGUGACUGCAUGACUAGAGUACGGCAGAGGGGGAUGGAAUUCCGCGUGUAGCAGUGAAAUGCGUAGAUAUGCGGAGGAACACCGAUGGCGAAGGCAAUCCCCUGGGCCUGUACUGACGCUCAUGCACGAAAGCGUGGGGAGCAAACAGG
rnacentral:rRNA from 1 species